GGGCUGGGGCCGGGGCCGGGGCGGCUGAGCGCGCGCGGCUCUGCCUCCAGCCCCCUUCCGCCUCGCCACCCGCUUUGCUCUUUGCGCCUGCGGUAAAUUCUGUUACAGAUGAGCGCAGAGUGGGUAAAACCAGAACCGAGCCUCUCUGGCCAGUGCAGGCCUUUGAUGAAGUAACAGCCCAACUCAAGAACAGCUAGGAAACCCUGGGAAGCAGGUGUCUGGCUGGCCCCGACGAAAGGAGGAAGCACCGCGCCAGGGUAGAGGAACUCUGGGUCUUGGUAUUGCAGAGCGUCGCAUCUUUCUGCCAAAGCCUGGCAAUUCCAUUAAAUAUUUGAAUCACAACUAAAUUUUUUAUUCUGUUCCUUUCUCGACAAAUACAAUUUUGAAUAGUAUUUCAAUUCCCAGUAUAGUUUUUCUACAAGGAGAGAGGGCCUGGGCAAAUGAAUAGCCCUUCCCUUGGCGUUUUCAUUGUAAACGAAAGCAUUGUUAUUUGGGGUUUCAUACAGGAGCUUCUAGUGAGCGUGACUCAGCUCCUCUGGCCUUGGUACCGCAAAAGUCAGACCCUGAAUGUGGGAAUUCACCAAGAUAAAUGCCACUCCCAGGGAUCUUACUAGCCCGCUUUUUGUCACCCCAACUGCCAUGCUUCCGAGGUUACUUUUCUACAGAAAGGGAUCUGCAGGCAGAUCAGGAGCCAAAACGUUGAAUAUUAGGGGACCCUUGCGACAUGAUUUCUUAUUUAUUAGUAAAACCUUUAAAGUGAAAAGGUUCUACUGGAGUACAACAAAGAGGGCCACCUGAGAGGACCACAUCCUCUGGGGGGAGCAAACCUAGGGUGCAGGUGUCCAGCAUAUUUGAAAGAAUUUUGCCCCUGAAGAGAAAGAACGCACCUGAAGCUGGCUUGGUUCUGAAAAAUAACUAGGCCUUAGAAUGGUUUCCCAACAGUUGGUUAGCAAGGACACUAUAGAAAGAAAUCAGUUCUAGGGAAGAAAUGUUGGGACUGCCGUUCUUUAAGGAGUUAGAGGAGGAAUAGCUACUGGGCAAGGGAGAAGACACCUUGAAGAAUGGAC
ensembl:lncRNA